rnacentral:rRNA from 1 species
UGCGCAGGCGGUUAUAUAAGACAGAUGUGAAAUCCCCGGGCUCAACCUGGGAACUGCAUUUGUGACUGUAUAGCUAGAGUACGGUAGAGGGGGAUGGAAUUCUGCGUGUAGCAGUGAAAUGCGUAGAUAUGCGGAGGAACACCGAUGGCGAAGGCAAUCCCCUGGACCUGUACUGACGCUCAUGCACGAAAGCGUGGGGAGCAAACA